AUUGAACGCUGGCGGCAGGCCUAACACAUGCAAGUCGAGCGAUCGGCGGACGGGUGAGUAAUGUCUGGGAAACUGCCCGAUGGAGGGGGAUAACUACUGGAAACGGUAGCUAAUACCGCAUACCAUCAGAUGUGCCCAUAUGGGCUUAGCUCGUGGGUGGGGUACUGGCUCACCUAGGCGACGAUCCCUAGCUGGUCUGAGAGGAUGACCAGACACACUGGAACUGAGAAACGGUCCAGACUCCUACGGGAGGCAGCAGUGGGGAAUAUUGCACAAUGGGCGCAAGCCUGAUGCAGCCAUGCCGCGUGUGUGAAGAAGGCCUUCGGGUUGUAAAGCACUUUCAGCGGGGAGGCGUUACCCGCAGAAGAAGCACCGGCUAACUCCGUGCCAGCAGCCGCGGUAAUUC
rnacentral:rRNA from 1 species